CAGCCGCCACGGGAACACGUAGGGUGCAAGCGUUAAUCGGAAUUACUGGGCGUAAAGCGUGCGUAGGCGGUUUGUUAAGUCUGUUGUGAAAUCCCCGGGCUCAACCUGGGAAUGGCAAUGGAUACUGGCAAGCUAGAGUGUGUCAGAGGAUGGUGGAAUUCCCGGUGUAGCGGUGAAAUGCGUAGAGAUCGGGAGGAACAUCAGUGGCGAAGGCGGCCAUCUGGGACAACACUGACGCUGAGGCACGAAAGCGUGGGGAGCAAACAGGAUUAGAUACCCCCGUAGUCCCUGUCUCUUAUAC
rnacentral:rRNA from 1 species